rnacentral:rRNA from 1 species
AUGGGAAUUUUACCUCCUAGAGGAUAUGUGAAGCUAAAUAUGGACGCCUCCUUUGAUCUAGAUCUUCUCAAAGGAACUGCUCGUGCAAUUAUAAGAGAUGAUAGAGGUGAGUUCAUUGACGCAUGUAAUUGGAAAAUAUAUUUUUGUCAUGAUGUCGUCUCGGCUGAAGCAACAGCCCUGCGAUAUGGUCUAUCUCUAGAACAGACUAUUGGAUGCAACAAUAUUAUUGUUAACUCGGACAAUAUUGAGGUGGUAAACACGAUGAAUGAAGGAGGGCGAUCGGCAGUACCAGCUGGAGCCAUCUUUGAUGAUUGUUAUCACAUGGCGUGCGAAUUUUCCUAUACCUCUUUCAUGCGGUGCCCUAGAGAGGCAAACAUGAUUGCCCAUGAACUAGCAAAUUCGGCUAAGGGGCCUUCCCCUUCAUGUAAUAGUUUUUUUAUGAGCCUUCCCCUGAACUAA